CCCUUAGAUGUUCUGGGCUGCACGCGCGCUACACUGAAGCGUUCAACGAGUAUUCACCUUGCCCGGGAGGGUUGGGUAAUCUUUUGAAAACGCUUCGUGAUGGGGAUAGAUUAUUGCAAUUAUUAGUCUUGAACGAGGAAUUCCUAGUAAGCACAAGUCAUCAGCUUGUGUUGAUUACGUCCCUGCCCUUUGUACACACCGCCCGUCGCUCCUACCGAUUGAAUGUUCCGGUGAGCUCUUCGGACUGCGCGGUCUGCAGUUUCUGCGUUCCGUGCGGAAAGUUGUGCAAACCUUAACAUUUAGAGGAAGGAGAAGUCGUAACA
rnacentral:rRNA from 1 species